CUGGCACAUUUCCUGCCAGGUUGAAAAAUAUCAGUGCACUGUUUAAUAUGUCUCUUUGAAGAGAAAUCUGAAGCCAGGGAAUGCAAAUGGAAGCCUGCUCACUGUUUGUUUUUUAUCAGUGUGUUGUACAGAGCGAAUGGCCUCGGACCUUCAAUGGCUGUGCACUGCUUUCUCAGGACUUUCCCUCAAAGGGAAGAACUGACCCUUAUCUCUUUCCCUUUUCUCCACCAUUAGAGCUCAGAGAUCCCAAGAGGCAAAGCGGGGAAAGUUUUAGAAAUCAUUUCACUCUGGAAAGCUUUCAGAUCACAGAUUCCUGCUCAUAAGUGGAUAAAUGAUGCAGUAAAAUUGAACAAACACAGCUCGUCCUACAUUCUGAAGAUGGGGCACAUUUAUCAGAAGAGAAAAACUGCCAGAGAGAAUUCACAUCAGUGCAGACCGAGAGUCUCAGAUGGCUAAGAGAUGUGCCUGACAACUUUUCAGAAAUAAGACUAUUAAAAGAAGGUCAGCUUGGAGUCUUACUGCGAAGAAUUAUAAACAGGCACGUGGAUUAUAAAUAGGGAUCAUCUAAUUCUACAACAAGAUUGCUGUCUGAACACUUGAGAUAAAUCUUCAUUCACUCUCUGGAAUUGCUCAACACACAGGUUAAUUUCUCACUAUUGAUUUUCUCCAGUAUGCUUCUUGAAUGCUUCGAGAUCUCUUGACCUAUACAAAAUAUCUCUGUGACAGAAGGUUAAAAAAAUAGCUCUUCAAAUUUAUGACAAACCCACAGCCAAUAUCAUACUCAAUGGGCAAAAGCUGGAAGCAUUCCCUUUGAAAACUGGCACAAGACAAGGAUGUCCUCUCACCACUCCUAUUCAAAUUAUUAUUGGAAGUUCUGGCCAGGGCAAUCAGGCAAGAGAAAGAAAUAAAGGGUAUUCAAAUAGGAAGACAGGGAGUCAAAUUAUCUCUGUUUGCAGAUGACAUGAUUGUAUAUUCAGAAAACCCCAUUGUCUCAGCCCAAAAACUCCUUAAGCUGAUAAGCAACUUCAGCAAAGUCUCAGGAUACAAAAUCAAUGUGCAAAAAUCACAGGCAUUCCUAUACAUCACUAAUAGAGAGCCAAAUCAUGAGUGAACUCCCAUUCACAAUUACUACAAAGAGAAUAAAAUGCCUAGGAAUACAACUUACAAAGGGAUGUGAAGGACUUCAUGCUACCUGACUUCAAACUAUGCUACAAGGCUACAGUAAC
rnacentral:lncRNA from 1 species